rnacentral:misc_RNA from 1 species
GUGAAGAACGUAGCGAAAUGCGAUAAGUAAUGUGAAUUGCAGAAUUCAGUGAAUCAUCGAAUCUUUGAACGCACCUUGCACCCUUUGGCAUUCCGAAGGGUAUGCUCGUUUGAGUGUCAUUGUACUCUCACACUCUCCGAUCCUAUGGAUUCGGGGAGCGGUGGACUUGGGUGUUGCUGCCUUUCCUUGUGGCUCACCUCAAAUGUGUCAGUGCACCUCUUGGUUGGACAUAGUACGGCGUGAUAAGUGUCUUCGCCGGCACCUCGCAAGAGGGUGGCCGAUCGGGAGCUCUGUGCUUUCAAACCGUCUUCGGACAAUUUCUGACAACUUGACCUCAAAUCGAGUAGGACUACCCGCUGAACUUAAGCAUAUCAAUAAGCGGAGGA